UUAUUUGUCACUUCUUACUUAAUAUAAAAAUCAACAAUCAAUGGCUGUCCACUAGUCAUCAAUCAUCUUUUUUCCCAUCAAAAAUACAUUUACCCAUAAAUCAUAUAUUUUUUUGGUGCCAAGAAUUCCAAAUGAUGAAUCAAAAUGAGCAUUCUUAUCCAUUGCAUAAUUCAAUUGAUUCAUGAUUGAGCUAAAUUUUGGCUUGGAGUUCUGGAAUUCAUAUGAUCACCAAAUCGGCCCAAAUAUGAAUGAAUUGCAGUUUGAAAUGAAAUUAAUAUUUGUGAGUGCUAAUUUUAACAUAAAAGGAAGUGACUUGCCAAGAAUCUCUUUGAAGUCAAGAUUUGAGAUCUGAAGACUUGAUUUGAUAUGCCUGGUUUACACAAAUAUGCUCUUUAUAUAUGGAUAAUAUGUCUUCUCUGCAAACUGAAUUGUCAAUUGUUUUUAAAUAUAAUAAACAUAUAUUCUGUGCUUAA